rnacentral:rRNA from 1 species
UGGGGAAUUUUGGACAAUGGACGAAAGCCUGAUCCAGCAAUGCCGCGUGUGUGAAGAAGGCCUUCGGGUUGUAAAGCACUUUUGUCCGGAAAGAAAUCCUUGGCUCUAAUACAGUCGGGGGAUGACGGUACCGGAAGAAUAAGCACCGGCUAACUACGUGCCAGCAGCCGCGGUAAUACGUAGGGUGCAAGCGUUAAUCGGAAUUACUGGGCGUAAAGCGUGCGCAGGCGGUUUGCUAAGACCGAUGUGAAAUCCCCGGGCUCAACCUGGGAACUGCAUUGGUGACUGGCAGGCUAGAGUAUGGCAGAGGGGGGUAGAAUUCCACGUGUAGCAGUGAAAUGCGUAGAGAUGUGGAGGAAUACCGAUGGCGAAGGCAGCCCCUGGGCCAAUACUGACGCUCAUGCAUGAAAGCGUGGGGAGCAAACAGGAUUAGAUACCCUGGUAGUCCAGCGCCCUAAACGAUGUCAACUAGUUGUUGGGGACUCAUUCCUUAGUAACGUAGCUAACGCGUGAAGUUGACCGCCUGGGGAGUACGGUCGCAAGAUU